AAUUUUUUUUGGUAAAUUUUGGUUUAACCGCUAUCGUACCCGCUGAUCAACCAGUCGUAAAUCUUCUGCAAACGCACAUGUUUUCAACCGCUAAACCAAUCGGUCAAAACGCUAAAUAACGCUUGAAACCGCAAUUGCCCAUUUCCGCAAACUCCCACAACCGCUGCGUUUAAACGAGUCAAGCCCUUAAUGUUUCUGUGGCAAUUUCUUUGUUGGUUGGUACACGCAUGUCAAUUAAUUGGACUAAUCCAAUACGGCCGGACUUGCAGGUUCAACAUGAUUCACUCCGUACCGGUUUUUUUUCUUAAACACAAAUGAAAAGCGAAACCAUUUGCAUCUGUGAUAAUGAGAUUGUAACUUUGUAAGACACAUUCAAGAACCUAUUUUCUGCAACUAAGGAAUAAAAAGCAAAUCACUUGGACACUAAACACACUCUUCAAUCGUAGGCAGAACAGACUUUCAUAGGCCUCUUAGCAGAGCACAAAAUAAGCUAACCAUCAGAGUGUUAUAAGUGAAAUGAUGCCUAUUGUAUUAAUGUCAAAACACACUGAAUCAUACAACAAAACCAAAUAACCCACAAUCACUAGAGAUUCACCACAUUAAGCCUUCUCACAAGUCAAUUCAUCAAAGUAGUAGUAAUAGUAAGAGCAUAGAGGCCCGAUUCAGUUAAUUAUUGGACAUAUUUCUCAAUAGUUUGAAAAAAAAUAUAUAUAAACAGAAUUUAAAUUUUUUGGGUUUUUUCUAAUUUGUUUCAAUACAAAUUAGCCUAAAUACUGAAGAAAAAUGUCAAAAUUAUAUUGGACCCUAUUCAAAGUUCCAAUUGCACAGCCCAAUAAUCGGGCCUGAGCGCACAAACAAAAUCAUAAAAAAGAAGGACUGUACUAAGAACAUCAUCAGCCCACUCAAUCUUUCCCCAAAUCUCUUGAGUACUUCGUCUUUCAAGCGCAAUCACAACACACUAAAUCAUUUUGUUUCUACAUGAAGGAACGCACUUAUCCCACAAAAGAGUCAUCUUUCCACUAUAAUCUACCAAUCUAACACAACCAUCAUCGUCAAACACUGGCAGACCUUCCUAACCCUUCAAAGAUUCCCAGUAUCUUGUUUUAGAGUUGAAGCAUUGGAUUUUUGGUAAAUCAAUACAACGAUAUAACACAUUUUGUAUACCAUAGCAAGAAAGUAAGUUCCAUCAUGUUUCCAAAUAAUGCAGCAUUCCUAUAGCUUUCCAUCUAUCUUCUUUUGCCUUGUAAGCCACGCGAUUUUGCACAACCACAUACUUUUGUCCUUUAAUCACUAUCCUCUUCGAGAUCAGAGUUUUGUAUUUCUCUUCAAAAGGGUACAACAUAUGCUCCCAAGUUUGGAGUUUUGGAUCCGAAACGUUAGCCUAAUUGGUGGAAUUGAAGAGUCUGAAACAUCUUGCUACAAAUAUUUCUCCAUGACUAAUAUUGGCAGAUGGGUAAUAUUGCUUUACCCACACAUUAGGAGCUUCACGCCACGUGUUAGAUCGGUAGUCUGAUUCACCGUCCGGAUCGGAUUUAAAAACAUUAGUUUUAAAUUUGUCGGAUAUUAAUACUAAACUCAAACUAAAAAUGGAUCACGGGUUAACCGGUCAGACCGAACGAUCUGGAUCGAGCAUGAAAACACUGGUCUAUUGGAAAGCUAGUGU
rnacentral:sRNA from 1 species